rnacentral:rRNA from 1 species
UGCCAGCCGCCGCGGUAAUACGGAGGGUGCAAGCGUUAAUCGGAAUUACUGGGCGUAAAGCGUGCGUAGGCGGUUUAUUAAGUCAGAUGUGAAAGCCCCGGGCUUAACCUGGGAACUGCAUUUGAAACUGGUAAACUAGAGUAUGGUAGAGGAAAGUGGAAUUUCUAGUGUAGCGGUGAAAUGCGUAGAUACUAGAAAGAACACCAGAAGCGAAAGCGCUCUACUGGGCCAGUACUGACACUCAGAGGCGAAAGCUAGGGUAGCAAAAGGGAUUAGAUA